GCUACUGCUAGAAGUGUUGCAGGUGUGGCCGCGGUGUCACACGUGCAUCUGUAGGUGGCAGAGAGGAGAGAGGCUCUCUUUAUGCUCAGUGUUCUGACCUCUGAACACCUGAGUGAUUAGUAGCCUAACACU